ensembl:lncRNA
CUGAAGACAGGCAUCUCACCAAGCAUGCUUUGGUCACAUAGUAUGCUUGUUCCUGGACAAGCUGGCUGUGCUGCACAUGAGCCACAUGCAGCAUGUGGUGCUUGUCUGGCUAUGGCCUAUGGGGACUUCAGCUAACGUAUGCUGCCCUGACCCAUGGUGUUAUCACCUGGUUUCCCUGAUUUUCCUCCAUGCCUUCUUCUGGGUUGGUAUGUUCAAGGCUGCAGGCACGUUACUUAAAGGGUGAUAGUUGCCUCAGGUUUGUAUAGAAAGGUGAACAAUCGGCUAGACGAAUUUAUCUACAGUGAUAGUGCAAAGUGAUGUAGAUGCGUGAAGACAUUUUGAGUUGUUCAGCUUUUCUGGAAACCACGAUGAAACUGCUCACCGGUUCAGACAAUGCACCCUUUUGUUCCCCCUGAUUCAGAAAACAACAGGAAGAGAGGAAAGCAGGUUGCCACACGGGGCUUGGAAGAACUGACUGUCUUGUUAGGGUGGGGUUGGAUAUCAGACCUCGGGUUGCACCAUGAGAUAAAACAGAUUCAAGGAAAAGGCAGUCCAGUUGUGUUAGACCUCUGUUCUUCAGAGAAAUAUUGGAAAUCAAUAUUUAAAUAG